GCGAGGGUGGGAGAGUGGUCAAAUCCGCUAGCUUGAGGGGCUAGUCCCUUAGUGGGUACGCGUGUUCAAGUCACGUCCCUCGCA
rnacentral:tRNA from 1 species